GGGUUGUGAGGUUAAGCGACUAAGCGUACACGGUGGAUGCCCUGGCAGUCAGAGGCGAUGAAGGACGUGCUAAUCUGCGAAAAGCGUCGGUAAGGUGAUAUGAACCGUUAUAACCGGCGAUGUCCGAAUGGGGAAACCCAGUGUGAUUCGUCACACUAUCGUUAACUGAAUACAUAGGUUAACGAGGCGAACCGGGGGAACUGAAACAUCUAAGUACCCCGAGGAAAAGAAAUCAACCGAGAUUCCCCCAGUAGCGGCGAGCGAACGGGGAGCAGCCCAGAGUCUGAAUCAGCUUGUGUGUUAGUGGAACGGUCUGGAAAGUCCGACGGUACAGGGUGAUAGUCCCGUACACCAAAAUGCACAGGCUGUGAACUCGAAGAGUAGGGCGGGACACGUGGUAUCCUGUCUGAAUAUGGGGGGACCAUCCUCCAAGGCUAAAUACUCCUGACUGACCGAUAGUGAACCAGUACCGUGAGGGAAAGGCGAAAAGAACCCCGGCGAGGGGAGUGAAAAAGAACCUGAAACCGUGUACGUACAAGCAGUGGGAGCACCUUCGGGUGUGACUGCGUACCUUUUGUAUAAUGGGUCAGCGACUUAUAUUCUGUAGCAAGGUUAACCGUAUAGGGGAGCCGCAGGGAAACCGAGUCUUAACUGGGCGUUAAGUUGCAGGGUAUAGACCCGAAACCCGGUGAUCUAGCCAUGGGCAGGUUGAAGGUUGGGUAACACUAACUGGAGGACCGAACCGACUAAUGUUGAAAAAUUAGCGGAUGACUUGUGGCUGGGGGUGAAAGGCCAAUCAAACCGGGAGAUAGCUGGUUCUCCCCGAAAGCUAUUUAGGUAGCGCCUCGUGAAUUCAUCUUCGGGGGUAGAGCACUGUUUCGGCUAGGGGGUCAUCCCGACUUACCAACCCGAUGCAAACUACGAAUACCGAAGAAUGUUAUCACGGGAGACACACGGCGGGUGCUAACGUCCGUCGUGAAGAGGGAAACAACCCAGACCGCCAGCUAAGGUCCCAAAGUCAUGGUUAAGUGGGAAACGAUGUGGGAAGGCACAGACAGCCAGGAUGUUGGCUUAGAAGCAGCCAUCAUUUAAAGAAAGCGUAAUAGCUCACUGGUCGAGUCGGCCUGCGCGGAAGAUGUAACGGGGCUAAACCAUGCACCGAAGCUGCGGCAGCGACACUAUGUGUUGUUGGGUAGGGGAGCGUUCUGUAAGCCUGCGAAGGUGUGCUGUGAGGCAUGCUGGAGGUAUCAGAAGUGCGAAUGCUGACAUAAGUAACGAUAAAGCGGGUGAAAAGCCCGCUCGCCGGAAGACCAAGGGUUCCUGUCCAACGUUAAUCGGGGCAGGGUGAGUCGACCCCUAAGGCGAGGCCGAAAGGCGUAGUCGAUGGGAAACAGGUUAAUAUUCCUGUACUUGGUGUUACUGCGAAGGGGGGACGGAGAAGGCUAUGUUAGCCGGGCGACGGUUGUCCCGGUUUAAGCAUGUAGGCUGGUUAUCCAGGCAAAUCCGGAUAAUCAAGGCUGAGGUGUGAUGACGAGGCACUACGGUGCUGAAGUAACAAAUGCCCUGCUUCCAGGAAAAGCCUCUAAGCAUCAGGUAACAUCAAAUCGUACCCCAAACCGACACAGGUGGUCAGGUAGAGAAUACCAAGGCGCUUGAGAGAACUCGGGUGAAGGAACUAGGCAAAAUGGUGCCGUAACUUCGGGAGAAGGCACGCUGGUGUGUAGGUGAAGCCCCUGCGGGUGGAGCUGAGACCAGUCGAAGAUACCAGCUGGCUGCAACUGUUUAUUAAAAACACAGCACUGUGCAAACACGAAAGUGGACGUAUACGGUGUGACGCCUGCCCGGUGCCGGAAGGUUAAUUGAUGGGGUUAUCCGUAAGGAGAAGCUCUUGAUCGAAGCCCCGGUAAACGGCGGCCGUAACUAUAACGGUCCUAAGGUAGCGAAAUUCCUUGUCGGGUAAGUUCCGACCUGCACGAAUGGCGUAAUGAUGGCCAGGCUGUCUCCACCCGAGACUCAGUGAAAUUGAACUCGCUGUGAAGAUGCAGUGUACCCGCGGCAAGACGGAAAGACCCCGUGAACCUUUACUAUAGCUUGACACUGAACAUUGAGCCUUGAUGUGUAGGAUAGGUGGGAGGCUUUGAAGCGUGGACGCCAGUCUGCGUGGAGCCAACCUUGAAAUACCACCCUUUAAUGUUUGAUGUUCUAACGUUGGCCCCUUAUCGGGGUUGCGGACAGUGUCUGGUGGGUAGUUUGACUGGGGCGGUCUCCUCCCAAAGCGUAACGGAGGAGCACGAAGGUUAGCUAAUCCUGGUCGGACAUCAGGAGGUUAGUGCAAUGGCAUAAGCUAGCUUGACUGCGAGCGUGACGGCGCGAGCAGGUGCGAAAGCAGGUCAUAGUGAUCCGGUGGUUCUGAAUGGAAGGGCCAUCGCUCAACGGAUAAAAGGUACUCCGGGGAUAACAGGCUGAUACCGCCCAAGAGUUCAUAUCGACGGCGGUGUUUGGCACCUCGAUGUCGGCUCAUCACAUCCUGGGGCUGAAGUAGGUCCCAAGGGUAUGGCUGUUCGCCAUUUAAAGUGGUACGCGAGCUGGGUUUAGAACGUCGUGAGACAGUUCGGUCCCUAUCUGCCGUGGGCGCUGGAGAAUUGAGGGGGGCUGCUCCUAGUACGAGAGGACCGGAGUGGACGCAUCACUGGUGUUCGGGUUGUCAUGCCAAUGGCACUGCCCGGUAGCUAAAUGCGGAAGAGAUAAGUGCUGAAAGCAUCUAAGCACGAAACUUGCCCCGAGAUGAGUUCUCCCUGAGACUUUAAGUCUCCUGAAGGAACGUU
rnacentral:rRNA from 1 species